AUGUCGGCUUCCGGUUUUCCCCGGCAGCGUCCUGCGUGGCUACCGGAGCCACGCCCACUUCCGGUUUCUUUGCUCCAGCAUGGCUGCCUUAGGGACCUGGCUAUCCAUAGGUGUCCGGAGGUUGCACAGUAGUGCAGUGGCGCGGGCCGGCAGCCAGUGGCGACUCCAGCAAGGGCUGGCUGCCAAUCCUUCCGGCUAUGGGCCCCUCACGGAGCUUCCUGACUGGUCUUUCGCGGAGACGAGUUGUGCUGCUGACACAGGAAAUGGAUGCAGGAUUACAGGCAUGGAAGCUCAGGCAGCAGAAACUGCAGGAAGAAAGGAAGCAGAAACAUGACCUUAAACCUAAAGGGACGUCACUGAGGAACCCACUUCCAAAUCAAUAAAAAGCUCCUGUCCCACUUUCCCAGCCUCUCUGGCUUCCUUUUCUACAUCUGAAUAUUUGUUUGUUUGUUUGUUUUCUUUUUUCUUUUUUUCGGAGCUGGGGACCGAACCCAGGCCCUUGCGCUUCCUAGGCAAGCGCUCUACCACUGAGCUAAAUCCCCAACCCCACAUCUGAAUGUUUUAUCCCUGGUAGACCGAAGUCAUUUUUCUCCCGCCAUUUGUAUUGAUAGCAAAAGACCUCAGGCACCGGGAGGAACUUAAAACCACUGCCUGCC
rnacentral:lncRNA from 1 species